GUGAAUUUGCAAUUAUUUCAGCAACUUGGUUCUACAACUUCCUUCACAACUAAUCCAAUUUCCAUAAGAGUUAUAUUUAACAAAAUAGAUAAACAGUGCACUUGCUUAUGUAAACACGUUGAUAGUACAUAAACAUCCCUCAAUUCAUGUGGUUCAUCAACAUCUCAAGUCACAUGCUUAUGUAAGAUUGAAGUACCAACAUUGACUACACUAGAGAGAAUGCGAUGGAAGGUGUUGAUCAUGAGGGCCUGAAACUAAAUUCUGAUUGAUUUACAUGUUGGAGUAGCCUACGCCUUCAUAACUGCAGAAAAGCUCUUUUAACAGGUCACAUUAAACUUCUGGCCAAAUUUGGUCAUGCUGAGAAAAUUUUGGGUGGCCAGAAUACGUCAGAGUACUCAGGUAAUGUUGUUACUUUCUCAAUGAUGUGAUCCUCUAAUCGGAACAGGAAAAUGCUAUCACUUUUUAAUCCUUUUCCCUUAACAUCAUCAUCGUCUGUGAAGUAAACACAGUUCCCUUUACCUCCCAAAAAAUCAGUAGAUGAAAUGGAGAAAGAACAAUCCACACCCAAAACAAAGGCUCUAUCACCCAAUGAUUUCACAUCAACCCAUGUACCCCACUCUUCAUCAAGCUUAUGAAUUCUGAAAGCAAUAGCUUUAGGACUACACAUCCUGUAUCUCCUUCGACGAAAAGAGAAACUAAGACGCCUAACAUCAAGAUUCUCAUAAUCAUUCCAUGUUCUCCUAUCUCCAUCAAGAUAUCUAUCAACUACAUAAAGAUCUCCACAUGACUCCACCAAAUUCUUCUGGCUACCACAACCGAACAAAGGAGGGGAAUACUGAAUCAGCUUCAAGGAAGAAUCAAUCCAAGAAACUGUACCCCAUCUAUCAACAACAUAAAAUUGGCCCUUAUAUUCAAUAAUGUCAUCAUAUUGAAAAUUCUUAUCAUCUAAAAGCGUCCAACUCUCAUCUCCAUAUUUCCAAUAACCCAAUUUUCCUUCGUGGUAAAUGGCAAGAAUGGAAAGCUCAUGUUCACUAUAUCUAGCAGAACUUGGAAAUAAAAGAACUUUAUUUAUCCCAAAAAGAUAGAAUCCAGAUAGGGAUUUAAGCAUGAAAGCUUUACUUAACACGAAAAACCGGAAGUCCAGCAAGUUCAACAUGAUUGGAGAGUACCUGACUUGGGAAUUUGAGAGUGGAUGAAAAAACUUCAAUUUACCCAGUUUGGUCUCUCCAAUUUUAGUUAACCAGGCCUUGGGCUUUGAUUCGGAAGAAGAAGAAUUUUUAUUCUGACGGGAAAAUUCCAUUCUGCAAAUGGUGGCCUGAGAAAGAACGGCAUCGACGCCGAUGGGCAUAGGAAGUUUAAGGAUGAGAGGAGAAAUAUCUUCAUCAAAGGAAGGAAAUGGAACAGAGGAUCGCCAGGAAGUGCAGACAGAGCGAAAUCGGAGAACAUCGACACGAAAAUCGAGGCAUUUGGAGAUAGUUUCCAAAAGCUCCUUGGGAAGAUCGGUCCACCCGCUCAUCUUUGAAGAAAUUGGCAGAUGAAGCAGCUGGAUGUAGAAGCUUUAUGUUGGCUGGUGGUUUGUGGAGGUUUCAGAGACUGUUUUAUAUAUUUUUGCAUUGACUCGAUCAACCGUUUUCCGUCGAGUAAACAAAGCAUUAUUGGAGGGUAG
rnacentral:misc_RNA from 1 species